rnacentral:rRNA from 1 species
GCAGGCGCGCAAUUACCCAAUCCUGAUACAGGGAGGUAGUGACAGUAAAUAACAAUGCAGGACCCUCUGGGUUUUGCAAUUGGAAUGAGAACAAAUUAACUUCGCUUAUCGAGUAACAAUUGGAGGGCAAGUCUGGUGCCAGCAGCCGCGGUAAUUCCAGCUCCAAUAGCGUAUAUUAAAGUUGUUGCAGUUAAAAAGCUCGUAGUUGAACCUUGGGCAAGUCGACUCUGGUCGAUCGCAAGAUCGUACUAGAGCGUCAAGCCUCUACUGGGGGACUUGUCGCUCUGCGGCAAGGUAACCCGUGUUACUGUGAAGAAAUUAGAGUGUUUAAAGCAGGCGAUCGCUUGAAUACAUCAGCAUGGAAUAACAAGAUAUGACUCCGGUCUUUCUUGUUGGUUUGAGGGUUAGAGUAAUGAUUAAUAGGGCCAGUUGGGGGCAUUAGUAUUCAGUAGUCAGAGGUGAAAUUCUUGGAUUUACUGAAGACUAACUAGUGCGAAAGCAUUUGCCAAGGAUGUUUUCAUUAAUCAAGAACGAAAGUUAGGGGAUCGAAGACGAUCAGAUACCGUCGUAGUCUUAACUAUAAACGAUGCCGACUAAGGAUCGGCAGAAGUCGUUUGCGACUCUGUCGGCACUUUGUGAGAAAUCAAAGUUUUUGGGUUCUGGGGGGAGUAUGGUCGCAAGG